CAGUCGCCACGGUAAUACGUAGGGUGCAAGCGUUGUCCGGAAUUAUUGGGCGUAAAGAGCUCGUAGGCGGUUUGUCGCGUCUGCUGUGAAAUCCCGAGGCUCAACCUCGGGCUUGCAGUGGGUACGGGCAGACUAGAGUGCGGUAGGGGAGAUUGGAAUUCCUGGUGUAGCGGUGGAAUGCGCAGAUAUCAGGAGGAACACCGAUGGCGAAGGCAGAUCUCUGGGCCGUAACUGACGCUGAGGAGCGAAAGCGUGGGGAGCGAACAGGAUUAGAGACCCCCGUAGUCCCUGUCUCUUAUAC
rnacentral:rRNA from 1 species